CCUACGGGUGGCUGCAGUGGGGAAUAUUGCGCAAUGGGCGAAAGCCUGACGCAGCGACGCCGCGUGAGGGAUGAAGGUCUUCGGAUCGUAAACCUCUGUCAGCAGGGAAGAACGGUCACUGUGCUAAUCAGCAGUGAAUUGACGGUACCUGCAAAGGAAGCACCGGCUAACUCCGUGCCAGCAGCCGCGGUAAUACGGAGGGUGCGAGCGUUAAUCGGAAUUACUGGGCGUAAAGCGCUCGUAGGCGGUAUGUCAAGUCAAGUGUGAAAUCCCCGCGCUCAACGUGGGAACUGCCUUUGAAACUGGCAAACUAGAGUGUGUGAGAGGAUAGUGGAAUUCCAGGUGUAGGAGUGAAAUGCGUAGAGAUGUGGAGGAACAUCAGUGGCGAAGGCGACUAUCUGGCAAAUAACUGACGCUGAGGAGCGAAAGCGUGGGUAGCAAACAGGAUUAGAUACCCGUGUAGUC
rnacentral:rRNA from 1 species